CUGCCAGAAGAAACGUGUGGACCCUCCAGCAUGGCACUCAGAGUCAUGAUAUGUCUGAAGAAACUGUCCAAGCCAUUAACACGAAAUUGAACCUUUGGAAUGUAACCUUGGAAGUGAAUCUGGAGAGAGUAUAGGUACCUGAAUUGAAGGACAAAGAGGUUCCAGAGGCCAUCCUUCCCUUGUUACCUCAAUGUCAUUUUCAUCAAUACCAUCAUCCUUUUUUCAUCACAGCCACACAUCUGUAUCAUUUAAUCAUUUAACAAACAUCGAGCUUAAACUCUGCAGGGCUCUGAGCUAAACUUGGGGACAUUGGCUCAGGAAAUCAUCUCAGAAUCUGAGAUCCUGGCAGCUUCUUUUCUGACACACCACAUGCUCAUGUUCAAGGCCCUUAUCGUGCAGCUCCACUCACCUGUGACCUGCAGCUUUGUCUUUGGCACUUACUGCAUCAUCUCUGUCAACUGUUCCUAUGAGAAAAUUGCCAGAGACAUUGUCAGGUAUGGUGAAAGGGCUUAGGUGUGGCCCCAGGAGGCUCAAGAAGCUACGGGAUGCUCCAGAGGGACCACUACUGUGCCCCUCUCUUGCUUCCGACAACACUGUCCAUCCAAUGAUGAACUGUGAUUUAUUAAGCAUGUUAUGGGAACUUUAAAAUACCUCAUUCAGCAGAAAGGAGGCAGAGGAUUAUAAUCCCCAUUUGACAGACAGGAUACUGAGGCCCAAGUCCUCAUGCUUCUUCAGUCUGGAAAGUGAAGAGAACUUGCACUGUGUGACAAGGGCCAGGCGAAAGAAACAGGAGAGGAGAGAUUCCUGUAGACCUGGGCUGUCAGGGAAGAUCCCUUGGAAAAGGUCAGUGGUUGAAUUGUGCCUUGAGGGAUAGAGAGACUUUUUUUUUUUUUUUUUUUUUGGAAGCAAGAAUAGAGAGGCUUCUGACUGAUCAGCUGGAGUAGGUGGAAUCUUCUAGGUGGACAACAGAAUACAGAGAUAUUGGGGGGGGGUUUGUUUUGGGAAGAGAUAUGCAUGGCACAAUAAAAAUAGUUGGCAUUUAAUGAAGGCAUACAGUGCCACCUGGUAUACUGGGUAAGUGCUUGUGUACCUUGUGUUAGUAAAUCCCCAGCAGUCCAGUCAUGUAGGGCCUUUUUGUUAUUUGCUGUUUUACAGGAGCCUUUAAAGGAAACUAAGUGACUUGUCCAUAGUCAGACAGUUAGUAGGGGCAACCUUAGAAUUUGAGCCCAUGUCUGUGAGACUCUAAAGCUAUCUGGCCUAACUGAUCACUUGUUGACAGAUGGGAACAUAAGUUGGAGAGUGAUAGGCCAUGGGCCUGGAUAGGUGGGCUGCAGCAGGUUGCAGAGGGCCUCCAGUGAGACUGGCCAGUUGGGUUUUAUCACGUGAGUUGAUUCUAAUCAUAGUCACUCACAGAGCUUUACUUUCUCUCCAAAGGCUGUACAUCCUUUUGAAAUCUCAGAGGUCUUUAGGCUCCCUGUGGAUCAAGGAGAUGUGUACUAUUUAAAGUGGCUUGAGGAAAGCAUGGAAGAGGACUGAGUGGGCGAAGCUUUUUGUGCAUGCUGCUGGCUGCCUACAGCCUUCAUCAGCUGCACUCUGGGGAAGAGGGGGCCUCCUUCUACCUCCCAGCAUCUCUGGAUUCCAUGUUCCUGUCAGCGCAGAGGGCCAGUCAGGUCAAGCAAGAACCCAGUGUAACUUGUCUCUGAGUGCUUCAUGGUUAAGGGGGAUCGGGGAUAUGAGGGCACGAGGAUGGUUGUGUGGAGACUGAGGGCAAGAGGCAGUGACGGUAAGACUUGUCAUCUUCUUGAGUCACUAGGCCUACUGAAAUGCCUAGGAUGUAAUUGCUCUGCUGCUUCUCAUGGGGAGGAGUGGCCCCAGUGACCUUGUUCACCUGGAAGAGUGUGGGAUGAAUGCCUCCUCCUAGGGGGACUGGCAAGUGCUUUAUCAAAAAGAUAAAUUGCUAAUGGUGCCAUCUCAUGGAUCAGCAGGAUUAUUUCUCCUUGCUAAAGAGGCUUUUGUGGCUUCUGAAUUCUGACGAUGUGGGACUAGGAAUGGGCUCCAUGAGCUUGUGUAUAAUUCAGGGAAUAUUAGGACUUUGGCACAGCCUCAUGGGUUGGGGGUAAGUCUUGGCUCUUCCCUAGUCGGAAUGACAGACAUCAGGUCAUUCUGGUGCCUUGUCAGUGAAGACGUAGAUUCUGAGCCCACCAAACUAACCUUUUCCCUUGAGCACAGAAGCAGCCCCAGGAAUCAGACCCGUGUCUUUCAGGUUUGCUUCACAGAGCCCCAGAGGUUGACAAAAGGUACCUUGGAGGCUCCCUACAAGGGGAUUUUUUAAAAAGCUUUGUUAAAGAUUUGUAAACCACCCCUCUGAGCCAGUUUUCAUUUUAUAGAUUACUGCAGGAAACUGAACUGCAUGGAGGCCCAGAAAGGGGGUGGUGCAACCUGGGCUGCUCAUCCUCUGUUUCAUGCUCUCGUGUACUUGCUCCAUGGGUUUGUGGCAGAAGAGGGCAGGGAAGGCAGUGGCCUGCCAAGCCGCAUGGACUAAGAAGGGAAAUUUGCCCCAGAAACCCCUCUGAAUCUGUCAUGAGGUAACUCCAUUCUGUGGAGACCAUGGGCAGUUUGGGUGGGGGUCUACAGAUAGCUGUUAUAUCUUGGGUCCAUCCUUGAGGGGAGGGUGUGCAGGAAGGCUAAUGCCAGGCUGUGGUUCUGACAAUUACUGUACUUCUUGGAUCUUUGUGCUCCCAAAUAUCAAAUGGAAGAUCUCUGAGAGUCCUUUGCAAAGAUCUUGUAGGGACUUUAGGCUGAGGCCCUUGGAAUGUUCCAGAGGGUUCCAAUGGAGAUUUUGAGAGACUGCCUCAGAAGAACAAAGAGAAUGAUAGUGGUGAUGUCCCUUGCUUUUUACAACAGAUCAUGUUCUGAUAGAUAUACAAAUCUGUGUAAAGUAGACCCUACCUAAAUGUACUGGGGAUCCAAGACAUACUGCCUGUAUUGCUUCCAGGAGAAAGUCCAAGUUCUAGGUCUGGUUUUUAUAACCUUGCUUCAGCUCACCUUUUCUGUCAUCAUCCCCUGCAUCUCCUCUCUCACUUUGGGAAAUGGAUGGCUCCACUAUACUGUGUGAUGUUAUUCCUGUGUUCCUGCUGUCUCCUCUGCCCGGAAUGCCCUUCUGCCUGAAUGCUUGUGAAAUGUUGCUGCUCCUUUGUAUGGCCUGGCUUCCGUGAUUGGGAGGAAUCUCUUCUGUUGUGGUAUUUCUGUCAUCUUUGUGCAUCACAGUCGGCUUUAUAUUCCUAGGUUGUAAGCUGCUUGAAGAUAGGGGCAUGUCUGAAUCUAUUUAAUCUGUCAUACCUGUUUGGCAAAUUGAUGUCUUAAGUAUUUAAUUAACUAAAGCUCUCUCUACAGUACAUAGUCACUUUUGAUUUAUGGAAUUAGCAAAUUCAACUUUUUUCCUUUAAUAUUCUUAAAGUGAGACUAAUUCCAAAGGAGAUUUUUCUGUCUGUGGCCUUCACUGGGUGGUUUUCUGUUAUCAGAAAACUCCUGGUGGCCUUCCUCUUCCCUGGUGUCAAGUUGACUGUUGUAGGAAACGGGAGGGGAGAGGGCCAUUUCUGCCGGGCAUUGUCCUCGGUUCCUUAACACUAAUCCUUAUAAUGCAUUGUUAUCCUCAUUUUACAGAUGAAACCUGAGAUCAGAGAGCAUGAAACACGUAAAGUAUUUGGCAGAGCUAGGAUGUGAACCCAACUCUGAUUCUAAACCUAAUGCUCUUACUUUUUCUCAGAGGUUCACUGAGUUCUUUGUAGGCCAUAGAUCCAGAGAAGCUGCUGCAGCCAACAGUAAAAUUAUUAGUUCUUAAAACAUCUAUGCGGUAAGUUGGUCUGGCACUUAAAAAUGUAUUGUUUACUACUCACCACAGAUCUUCAGGAGUUCACUGAUCUCUACGGUCUGCCUUAACUCCAACUUAUGUGGUUUGGCCACUAUUACAUACUGUCAUCCCAGAAUGAUGCUGCAGAGGCUGGGGCUAAGACCCAGUCCAGUGUUUCCAUGUGGGAAUUCCCUCCCAGUAUUUCUUAGGAAAUAUAUGUUUUUUGAAUCCAUAAUCACUAGAAAAAUCAGUUGAGGAAAUGAGAAGUAUUAUAGUUAUUCUGUGAAUACUAACACCAUUAUAGAGACAUUACUGGUUUGAAAGAAUCCAGCUUCAUCAAAUAUAACAUACUGAGUUGAAGGCUACAAGAACAGAGACAGGAGCAUAGCCGAGAGAAAUGAUCACCAUCUAAUUAGUCUUACUUUUGGUUGCUGUGAUGUCACUAAGUAUGUAUGUCUGGCCCUAUUGGCUGCUAAUGGUGAGUUCUUGUGAAUAAAAUGAUUUGAUAAACAA